rnacentral:rRNA from 1 species
UACAGAGGGUGCAAGCGUUAAUCGGAAUUACUGGGCGUAAAGCGUGCGUAGAUGGUUAUGUAAGUCGGAUGUGAAAGCCCCGGGCUCAACCUGGGAAUUGCAUUCGAGACUGCAUAGCUAGGAUGCGGAAGAGGGAAGCGGAAUUUCCGGUGUAGCGGUGAAAUGCGUAGAUAUCGGAAGGAACACCAGUGGCGAAAGCGGCUUCCUGGUCCAGCAUCGACGUUCAGGCACGAAAGCGUGGGUAGCAAACAGG